AUUCUUGCAGUGUCAACCGACUGCGCUAGGAGGCGUGCCGCGGAGUCCUAUUCUGAGACAGACGCCAGGUGGCUACCCAUUGCCAGGCAGCAAGGCCGGAGGACGCCGUGCAGCACGGUCACCAACCAGGUGGGUGAGCGGCCGCCCCGCCCUGUCCUCCGCCAGCCUGCCUCCCACGGCCGCGAGGCCGUGCCACCCUGAGCCUUCCCCAGGUCUCCCCUAGUCCUGUGUCCGCGAGCCGGUGACCUUCAGCCGUCCCUCUUGCAUUGCUCCUUCUCUUUUGCACCUGAGCCGCUUGUAGAUUUUCAGUGGAAACUGGGUAUGGCUGUGAGCUCAGACACUUGCAGAUCUCUUAAGUAUCCUUACGUUGCAGUGAUGCUAAAAGUGGCAGAUCAUUCAGGCCAAGUAAAGACCAAGUGCUUUGAAAUGACGAUUCCACAGUUUCAG
rnacentral:lncRNA from 1 species